UGCAGUCGAACGGCAGCACGGGUACUUGUACCUGGUGGCGAGUGGCGAACGGGUGAGUAACAUAUCGGAACGUAUCCAAUAAUGGGGGAUAACGAGUCGAAAGAUUCGCUAAUACCGCAUACGCCCUACGGGGGAAAGCUAGGGACCUUCGGGCCUGGCGUUAAUGGAGCGGCCGAUAUCUGAUUAGCUAGUUGGUGAGGUAAAGGCUCACCAAGGCGACGAUCAGUAGCUGGUCUGAGAGGACGACCAGCCACACUGGAACUGAGACACGGUCCAGACUCCUACGGGAGGCAGCAGUGGGGAAUUUUGGACAAUGGGGGCAACCCUGAUCCAGCCAUUCCGCGUGAGUGAAGAAGGCCUUCGAGUUGUAAAGCUCUUUCGCAAGGGAAGAAAACUUAUCCUCUAACAUAGGAUGAGGUUGACGGUACCUUGAUAAGAAGCACCGGCUAACUACGUGCCAGCAGCCGCGGUAAUACGUAGGGUGCGAGCGUUAAUCGGAAUUACUGGGCGUAAAGCGUGCGCAGGCUGUUUUGUAAGUCAGAUGUGAAAUCCCCGAGCUCAACUUGGGAACUGCGUUUGAAACUACAAGACUAGAAUAUGUCAGAGGGGGGUAGAAUUCCACGUGUAGCAGUGAAAUGCGUGGAGAUGUGGAGGAAUACCAAUGGCGAAGGCAGCCCCCUGGGAUAAUAUUGACGCUCAUGCACGAAAGCGUGGGGAGCAAACAGGAUUAGAUACCCUGGUAGUCCACGCCCUAAACGAUGUCUACUAGUUGUUGGUGGAGUAAAAUCCAUGAGUAACGCAGCUAACGCGUGAAGUAGACCGCCUGGGGAGUACGGUCGCAAGAUUAAAACUCAAAUGAAUUGACGGGGGCCCGCACAAGCGGUGGAUUAUGUGGAUUAAUUCGAUGCAACGCGAAAAACCUUACCUGGCCUUGACAUGUAACGAACUUUCCAGAGAUGGAUUGGUGCUCGAAAGAGAACGUUAACACAGGUGCUGCAUGGCUGUCGUCAGCUCGUGUCGUG
rnacentral:rRNA from 1 species